rnacentral:rRNA from 1 species
AAACCAACAGGGAUUGCCUCAGUAACGGCGAGUGAAGCGGCAACAGCUCAAAUUUGAAAUCUGGCGUCUUUGGCGUCCGAGUUGUAAUUUGUAGAGGAUGCUUCUGGGCAGUGGUCGGUCUAAGUUCCUUGGAACAGGACGUCAUAGAGGGUGAGAAUCCCGUAUGUGAUUGACUUACACCUUACACGUAGCUCCUUCGACGAGUCGAGUUGUUUGGGAAUGCAGCUCUAAAUGGGAGGUAAAUUUCUUCUAAAGCUAAAUAUCUGCCAGAGACCGAUAGCGCACAAGUAGAGUGAUCGAAAGAUGAAAAGCACUUUGGAAAGAGAGUUAAAAAGCACGUGAAAUUGUUGAAAGGGAAGCGUUUGCAACCAGACUUGCCUGCGGUGUUCAACCGGUCUUUUGGCUGGUCUACUCAUCGUAAGCAGGCCAACAUCACUUGGGGCCGUGGGAUAAUAGGUCUGGAAUGUAGCCCCUCGGGGUGUUAUAGCCAAUCCUGAUGCCACGAGCGCCGAGUGAGGUCCGCGCAUUAGCUAGGAUGUUGGCGUAAUGGUUGUAAACGGC